rnacentral:rRNA from 1 species
AUUGAACGCUGGCGGCAGGCCUAACACAUGCAAGUCGAGCGGAUGAGAGGAGCUUGCUUCUUGAUUCAGCGGCGGACGGGUGAGUAAUGCCUAGGAAUCUGCCUGGUAGUGGGGGACAACGUUUCGAAAGGAACGCUAAUACCGCAUACGUCCUACGGGAGAAAGCAGGGGACCUUCGGGCCUUGCGCUAUCAGAUGAGCCUAGGUCGGAUUAGCUAGUUGGUGAGGUAAUGGCUCACCAAGGCGACGAUCCGUAACUGGUCUGAGAGGAUGAUCAGUCACACUGGAACUGAGACACGGUCCAGACUCCUACGGGAGGCAGCAGUGGGGAAUAUUGGACAAUGGGCGAAAGCCUGAUCCAGCCAUGCCGCGUGUGUGAAGAAGGUCUUCGGAUUGUAAAGCGCUUUAAGUUGGGAGGAAGGGUUGUACGUUAAUACCGUGCAAUUUUGACGUUACCGACAGAAUAAGCACCGGCUAUCUCUGUGCCAGCAGCCGCCGUAA